rnacentral:rRNA from 1 species
AGAGACAGCAGCAGCCGCGGGAAUACAGAGGGUGCAAGCGUUAAUCGGAAUUACUGGGCGUAAAGCGCGCGUAGGUGGUUUGUUAAGUUGGAUGUGAAAUCCCCGGGCUCAACCUGGGAACUGCAUUUGUGACUGUAUAGCUAGAGUACGGCAGAGGGGGAUGGAAUUCCGCGUGUAGCAGUGAAAUGCGUAGAUAUGCGGAGGAACACCGAUGGCGAAGGCAAUCCCCUGGGCCCGUACUGACGCUCAUGCACGAAAGCGUGGGGAGCAAACAGGAUUAGAUACCCCCGUAGUCCCUGUCUCUUAUAC